rnacentral:sRNA from 1 species
GCGAACCAGCGAACCAAAAUUGUCUUCGCUUUUCUGCCGAACGUGUCAAGCCGAGAGAGCCGCGCCUUGAUUCCUCCGCCCCGCCCUUAUCCUUUCCCUCUCCUCCUCCGCCACUCGUUUCUCUCAUCCUUUCUCUCCUCCGCGCGCUCCUCUCAGCUGGCGAGGAGCUCCGAUGAGCAAUGGCGCCGGUGAUUUAUUCAUUUUCUUGGAUGAUUUUGAUUCAUUGUUGUUAGAUUUGUGACUUUGUGAUUCAAUGGAUUUGUGAUUUUGUGAUUUAUUUGGAUCGGAUUUGAUCUCGUUCAAGGGGGCAUGGGCAUACGGGACGGGAUGAGCGACGCACAGGUGAAAAGGACACGCGGUGACGGAAAAAAAGUGUGACGGACGAAAAAACACAUGGUGUAAAGAUGUGACGACCGGAAAAAUGCUAAUAUUUAUAUUAGUUAGUUAUAGAUAUAGAUAUAGAUAUAUCUAUUUUUUUAAAAAAAAUCUUGGGUAUUCAUUUGAAUACCCAUGAAUUACAGUGGGUCCGCCCCUGAGUGAUGGUCCACAAAUCUUUAUAUGUGGUGCUAUAUCCUAUCCACCUUUUAGGACGAGGCAACAAUAGGAUACCACAACAUAUUUACAAAAAGCUGUGCAGAAACUUACUUGCAAAAAAAAAGGGCCGUAGAAAUAAAGAACACUGAACCAUACAAAUACAAGCAAUAACAUAGCUGCAAUAAAGAAACAGGAGGGAAUGGGGAUUUGGUGGUGUAGAAGGCGCAAUCCAGAUGCACUCAGAGAUGGAUCUAAAAAUCUAACGGUCCCAGGAUGAAGAUCCUGAUCUCCUAGACCAAUUUUCAAUAUUUGUGAUAUAUUUUCUAAAAGAGGAUCAAUUGUAUUUUGUCUUAGCAAGGAAAAUAUAAUAAGAUAAUUUACUUAAG